rnacentral:rRNA from 1 species
UACGAAGGGGGCUAGCGUUGCUCGGAAUCACUGGGCGUAAAGGGUGCGUAGGCGGGUCUUUAAGUCAGGGGUGAAAUCCUGGAGCUCAACUCCAGAACUGCCUUUGAUACUGAGGAUCUUGAGUUCGGGAGAGGUGAGUGGAACUGCGAGUGUAGAGGUGAAAUUCGUAGAUAUUCGCAAGAACAUCCAGUGGCGAAGGCGGCUACCUGGCCCAGUACU